rnacentral:rRNA from 1 species
AACGCUAGCGGGAUGCCUUACACAUGCAAGUCGAACGGCAGCACGGACUUCGGUCUGGUGGCGAGUGGCGAACGGGUGAGUAAUGUAUCGGAACGUGCCCAGUAGCGGGGGAUAACUACGCGAAAGCGUAGCUAAUACCGCAUACGCCCUACGGGGGAAAGCAGGGGAUCGCAAGACCUUGCACUAUUGGAGCGGCCGAUAUCGGAUUAGCUAGUUGGUGGGGUAACGGCUCACCAAGGCGACGAUCCGUAGCUGGUUUGAGAGGACGACCAGCCACACUGGGACUGAGACACGGCCCAGACUCCUACGGGAGGCAGCAGUGGGGAAUUUUGGACAAUGGGGGAAACCCUGAUCCAGCCAUCCCGCGUGUGCGAUGAAGGCCUUCGGGUUGUAAAGCACUUUUGGCAGGAAAGAAACGUCGCGGGUUAAUACCUCGCGAAACUGACGGUACCUGCAGAAUAAGCACCGGCUAACUACGUGCCAGCAGCCGCGGUAAUACGUAGGGUGCAAGCGUUAAUCGGAAUUACUGGGCGUAAAGCGUGCGCAGGCGGUUCGGAAAGAAAGAUGUGAAAUCCCAGAGCUUAACUUUGGAACUGCAUUUUUAACUACCGGGCUAGAGUGUGUCAGAGGGAGGUGGAAUUCCGCGUGUAGCAGUGAAAUGCGUAGAUAUGCGGAGGGA